AGAGUUUGAUCAUGGCUCAGGAUGAACGCUGGCGGUCUGCUUAACACAUGCAAGUCGAACGGAGUAGAAAUACUUAGUGGCGGACGGGUGAGUAACGCGUGAGAAUCUGCCUUCAGGACGGAGACAACAGUUGGAAACGACUGCUAAGCCCCGAUGAACCGAAAGGGAAAAUAUUUAUAGCCUGAAGAUGAGCUCGCGUCCGAUUAGCUAGUUGGGGGGGUAAAGGCCCACCAAGGCGACGAUCGGUAGCUGGUCUGAGAGGACGAUCAGCCACACUGGGGCUGAGACACGGCCCAGACUCCUACGGGAGGCAGCAGUGGGGAAUUUUCCGCAAUGGGCGAAAGCCUGACGGAGCAAGACCGCGUGGGGGAAGAAGGCUCUUGGGUUGUAAACCCCUUUUCUCUGGGAAGAAAGUUGUGAAAGCAACCUGACGGUACCAGAGGAAUCAGCAUCGGCUAACUCCGUGCCAGCAGCCGCGGUAAGACGGAGGAUGCAAGCGUUAUCCGGAAUGAUUGGGCGUAAAGCGUCCGCAGGUGGCAGUUCAAGUCUGCUGUCAAAGACCGGGGCUUAACUUCGGAAAGGCAGUGGAAACUGAACAGCUAGAGUAUGGUAGGGGCAGAGGGAAUUCCUGGUGUAGCGGUGAAAUGCGUAGAGAUCAGGAAGAACAUCGGUGGCGAAGGCGCUCUGCUGGACCAUAACUGACACUCAGGGACGAAAGCUAGGGGAGCGAAUGGGAUUAGAUACCCCCGUAGUCC
rnacentral:rRNA from 1 species